UGAGGAAUAUUGGGCAAUGGAGGCAACUCUGACCCAGCCAUGCCGCGUGCAGGAAGACGGUCCUAUGGAUUGUAAACUGCUUUUAUACGGGAAGAAACACCACUACGUGUAGUGACUUGACGGUACCGUAAGAAUAAGGAUCGGCUAACUCCGUGCCAGCAGCCGCGGUAAUACGGAGGAUCCAAGCGUUAUCCGGAAUCAUUGGGUUUAAAGGGUCCGUAGGCGGCCUUAUAAGUCAGUGGUGAAAUCUCCUAGCUCAACUAGGAAACUGCCAUUGAUACUGUAGGGCUUGAAUUAUUAGGAAGUAACUAGAAUAUGUAGUGUAGCGGUGAAAUGCUUAGAUAUUACAUGGAAUACCAAUUGCGAAGGCAGGUUAACUACUAAUGGAUUGACGCUGAUGGACGAAAGCGUGGGGAGCGAACAGGAUUAGAUACCCUGGUAGUCCACGCCGUAAACGAUGGAUACUAGCU
rnacentral:rRNA from 1 species